AGAACUGCACAACUCGGCUGCACAUUCUUUUUUUUUUUCGUGCGUUACGGCUCUGGUCUUCCUGUGCGCGUGUCUUUCGAUUGGUUUCGUGGGCUUCUCUUUGUUGCCGUUUUCGACUCUUCUCACCGCGCCUCAUCCCCCUCUUCGGCCGUUGCUUCUCCCCAGAAGAUUUGCUUUGGCAUCUCCGCGUUUCUGGUGCCCUUCACCGAGGUAUUCAGCUCCCUUCCUGUCUCCGCCGCCGCCGCCUCCCUCUCUCCCUCGCCCUCCUUCUCUGUGUGCUGCAUCGCUGUCUUCGUAGGAUUGAUGAGUUGCUGUCGCCGCGUCACUCCCCAACGAGUUCUGAGCUGCUUGAUCCACUGACAGGUACCUCUGCCGCUGUGAAUACUUCGAAAUCUAUCUGUAUCUCUAUCUAUACAUAUAUACACUUGCUAUUGGGUCCUGUGACGAUGUCACCUGAGCAACCGAGAGAGACGACGGGGUUGACGGUGGCCCCUGCCGGUCCGGCGGCGACCAACUACCACACUGCGUCUAAUACGGUGCACGUCACGGUUGCCGAAGAGCGCACGAUCGAUGAGGCGCUGUCCGCCGUCAAUGCCCGCCGCGAGUCGGAGAAGAAGGUUCUCCUGGGCGCCCUCAUUUUCUGCUUUGUCUUUAUGAUCGUCGAGUUUGCCAGCGGUGUGAUUGCCCACUCGCUGGCCCUACUCACGGACGCCAUCCACUUGUUGACCGAUGUCGGGUCCUAUGCGCUGAGUAUUGGUGCCCUUGUCGCAGCUGGGCGUGCGGCGUGCGGCCGCUACAGCUACGGCUGGCACCGGGCUGAGGUGAUUGGCACCCUCAUCUCUGUCUUUUCGAUCUGGGCGUUGGUGACCUGGAUUGUCAUUGAGGCAGGGUACCGCACCUACGACAUGUACAUGUGCAGUCGCGUACCGGCGCAAGCUUCCGCUGGCGCAGUGAAGGCUCGCGAGUGUCAAGCAGUGGACUCGCGUCUCAUGAUUUUAGUUGGUGUGCUUGGCAUGCUGGUGAACGUUGUGUGUGCCUCCAUCCUCUACUUUGGCGGCUCUCACGGCCACAGCCACUUCGGCUCCUCGCACGGGCACAGCCACGGCGAGAGUGAGAUGCACGACCAUGAUCACAGUCAUAGAGACCUUCACGAGGGCGGCCACGGACACAACCACGCACACGACGACCGUCACGAUCACGGGCACGACCAUGGACACGGUCACGGAUAUCUAGCGGAAAGCGGUGGCGGCAUUGGCAGCCACAAGGGUUUUGCCGUGCACGCCGCUAUCCUGCAUGCCAUGGGCGACUGCGUCCAAUCCAUCGGUGUCAUUUUCGCUGGUAGUUUCAUCUACUUCAGCAACUUAGCCUACUACGGCAAUCACACGUACGAGCACUCCCUCUUCAACCUUGCCGACCCGUUCUGCUCCGUCAUGUUCGCUCUCAUCACGCUGAGCAUGACCAAGGCGCUGCUGAUGGACCUGCUUAGUAUUCUGAUGGAGAGCACGCCGGCAAGCGUCGACUACUAUGCACUGGAGACGGCGCUCCAGCAGAUCGACGGUGUCGCCAGUGUGCACGACCUGCACGUAUGGUCCCUAUCUGCCGAGUACGUCUCCCUCUCGGUGCACCUGGUGGCGGACAAUGCCGCCGAGGCGCUGCAAAAGGCGCAGCACAUCUGCAAGGAGCACUUUGGCAUUGGCCACACCACCAUUCAGAUCGACUCAGUGGCUGUCGGCACAGCCGGGUGCGCCAGCGCCUGCGCUUCGCCGACUGCGCAUGAUGAGAUUUUGAGCCACUACAUGUGAGGUACCGACGGCUUUCUGUGGCUGAGAUGUGGCCUGUCAAGGCACCACUCUUCGCUACCCUCCUCUCCAACGAACGCCGUGUUGCGCGUUCCUCAGCUGAUGAAACGGUGCGUCUGUGCCCGUAUGUGUAACACAAGCUUCCCUCGAGUGAAGGAAGAAGGCAACGCGAAAAGGAAGCCGGAUAAAGUAUGCGGCGUGCGACACACGAGAGUAGGCUAUAAACCAACUAACAGGAUCCACAACACGGCGGCCGUGAGCUGCGAUGGGGAUGGGCGCGAAUGAGGCGCGUGAGAGGAGGCUUCUCUGCGCCUAUGUGCUCUUCGUUUUUCCACGUAUGUGUGUGUUUGUGCCUCGGUUUUGUAUCUUGCACAAACGUGCGCGAGGCGGCGCAGGCAAUUUGAAUAGCAUCGCUUGCGGCAGUCUGCAACAUCGGGUUUGUAUGAUUUUUUCUUUUUUUUACAUUUGCCGCGUUUUGUGCUCUGUGCCUGCCUGUCUCACAGAGUAAAGACUCAGCUCAUUCUUUGUCUGUGCCCAUGGGAUGCGCUGGCUCAUGACACUUUUCUUUUCCGUAUUUUCCUGCCUUCCCUUCGCUGUGAGUCGCCUUCUCUUCCUCUCUUCACGCUGCCGCCCUGGCGGUUUGCCUAUAACCGUCGCCCUCUCGCCCUCUUUCUCUUUCUCGCCGCUACAUCUUGCACCUUUCUGCUCCUCCAGCGGACUGGAGCGCGUGGCGACACCGGCUGUCGCUCUCGUGGCUCGCACAGAGUCUGAAGUGGGCAGAGAAGCGGAAGAGCCACACGGAAAUGUGCGCGAAAAAGAAAAAGAACAUUGACGGUCUCCUUUUCCAAACUGUGCUCGCGCUUGCGUGAUCUGGCAUGCGUGCGUCCGGGUAUGUGGGGGCAUCGAUUGUCGGUUCGCUUCCCCCGCACAGGAUCAUUUUGCGCCGCUCGGUACAAAGUCCCCGCCGUCACAGCGGGCCACGUCUGUUGGCGCCUCGCGACGAACACUCAGGCACGGAUUCAAAAUCAGCUCUUGCACACAUGUAGGCAGUAAUGCGAUUUACCUCUUGCGACGUCCGCGUGCCUCAUCCAGUUUAGCUCUUUGGCUUGGGAAUUUUUUUUCUUUCGAGGCGGGUGCACCGGCACUUCUGUUUUUCUGUCGUGUGGACGUCCCCCUCCCCUCUCCUUCCGCCUCAUCGUUUUCUUUUUUUUUUUCGUUCGCUCUUUAUGUCCGCGUUUGCAGCGUGCUAAAACGUUAACAUCACCGAGUUGUGUGCAUUCAAGUGCUAGGUGUGUGCCGAUGCGUACGUGUGUGUGUGAAUGUAUAUACAUAUAUGUCUGUGUCGCGUAGAGGAUACCCCUCUGUCACGGCGUCCGUGUCGUCGCCGUGCUCGUUUCUUUUCAUUGCUUCUUUCUAUAUGGUGCGAGAGGCACCCCGCUCCGUUGCGCAGAGCAUUCAAUUUUCCUUUUUGCUGUUCGCGUACUCUUCAUGGGACGUCGUGUGGAUCUCUGCGCAUACGGGUGGGUGUCUUCCUACACAUGAAAGAUGCGAAUAAAGUUGCAGAUACGGCGCGGCCGUCAAUCUUUAGGUUUCCAGCAAACGAGAGGAGGUUUCAGCCACGCAGCCAAAGACUCUGCGCAUGCGUGCGAGUGACUACUGCCCUUGAUGCUCACGCGUUUUUCUUCGUGAAUGUAGGGCAUGGUGGGUCUGACGCAUUUGUAGUGCGACGGUGCGGAAACGUACUUGGCUGCUCUGCUGCUUGAUGCGCAGCACCAGCUGCGCGAAGGAGUGCGAUCCCUCCUCCUUUUUUUUUAUCUUCGUAGAGCGUGUGUUCACAGUAAUCGGUUUUAGUUGUGUGGGCUGUUGGCUCUCCGCUGUCGCACAUGAAUGUGUUCGGUGCGCUGCAGAAUGGAGGUGAGCAGAAGCAAAGAGCGUGUGCGUGUGUAUAUAAAUAGAUGGAUUCUAAGGGAAGUCUCUGUGUGCCGGAUGCGGGCGCAUAUGUCCAUGUAUAGCAUAUACCUGUGGCACGCCACGUGCCUGUGUAUUUACGUAUUCAUGCGUGUGUGCGUUAAAAUAUCCUCUGUUUGUGGGCCGCCUCAGGCGGUGCGGCGCACGCACUUCGAUCCGCGAAAGAAAAAGACGAAACGAAAAGAAAAGAGGCCAGUGGACGCUGUGUGUGUGCGUGUCGCUCCGUUCACGCAGACUAGUCUGGGGAGAAGAGACCAACCUGCGCGUCGCAUGAGAAUCCGCUUGAGGCUAUGUGAGGGCCACUUGCAUCCGGCUUGACCGCUGAGUUGCGC
rnacentral:misc_RNA from 1 species